rnacentral:rRNA from 1 species
AUUGAACGCUGGCGGCAGGCCUAACACAUGCAAGUCGAGCGGAUGAAGGGAGCUUGCUCCUGGAUUCAGCGGCGGACGGGUGAGUAAUGCCUAGGAAUCUGCCUGGUAGUGGGGGAUAACGUCCGGAAACGGGCGCUAAUACCGCAUACGUCCUGAUGGAGAAAGUGGGGGAUCUUCGGACCUCACGCUAUCAGAUGAGCCUAGGUCGGAUUAGCUAGUUGGUGGGGUAAAGGCCUACCAAGGCGACGAUCCGUAACUGGUCUGAGAGGAUGAUCAGUCACACUGGAACUGAGACACGGUCCAGACUCCUACGGGAGGCAGCAGUGGGGAAUAGUGGACAAUGGGCGAAAGCCUGAUCCAGCCAUGCCGCGUGUGUGAAGAAGGUCUUCGGAUUGUAAAGCACUUUAAGUUGGGAGGAAGGGCAGUAAGUUAAUACCUUGCUGUUUUGACGUUACCAACAGAAUAAGCACCGGCUAACUUCGUG